CAGCCGCCGCGGUAAAACGAAGGGGGCUAGCGUUGCUCGGAAUGACUGGGCGUAAAGGGCGCGUAGGCGGUUUUCCAAGUUAGAUGUGAAAUUCCUGGGCUCAACCUGGGGGCUGCAUUUGAUACUGGGAGGCUUGAGUAUGGAAGAGGGUCGUGGAAUUCCCAGUGUAGAGGUGAAAUUCGUAGAUAUUGGGAAGAACACCGGUGGCGAAGGCGGCGACCUGGUCCAUAACUGACGCUGAGGCGCGAAAGCGUGGGGAGCAAACAGGAUUAGAUACCCCCGUAGUCCCUGUCUCUUAUAC
rnacentral:rRNA from 1 species